UUCGACCGCGACCCCAGGUCAGACGGGACUACCCGCUGAGUUUAAGCAUAUCAAUAAGCGGUGGAGAAGAAAC
rnacentral:rRNA from 1 species